rnacentral:rRNA from 1 species
CCUACGGGUGGCACCAGUGGGGAAUUUUGGGCAAUGGGCGAAAGCCUGACCCAGCGACGCCGCGUUGGGGAUGAAGUCCUUCGGGGCGUAAACCCAUGUUGUAGGGGAAGAAGAAAGUGACGGUACCCUACGAGAAAGCCCCGGCCAACUACGUGCCAGCAGCCGCGGUAAAACGUAGGGGGCGAGCGUUGUCCGGAAUUACUGGGCGUAAAGGGCAUGCAGGCGGUGCGCCAAGUCGGGGGUGUAAAGUUACGGCUCAACCGUGACCUUGCAAUCGAAACUGGCGCACUGGAGUGCGGGAGAGGGAAGUGGAAUUCCCGGUGUAGCGGUGAAAUGCGUAGAUAUCGGGAGGAACGCCAGUGGCGAAGGCGGCUUCCUGGCCCGCGACUGACGCUCAUGUGCGAAAGCCAGGGGAGCGAACCGGAUUAGAUACCCUAGUAGUC